UACGAAGGGGGCUAGCGUUGCUCGGAAUCACUGGGCGUAAAGCGCACGUAGGCGGAUUGUUAAGUCAGGGGUGAAAUCCUGGAGCUCAACUCCAGAACUGCCUUUGAUACUGGCGAUCUCGAGUCCGGGAGAGGUGAGUGGAACUGCGAGUGUAGAGGUGAAAUUCGUAGAUAUUCGCAAGAACACCAGUGGCGAAGGCGGCCAACUGGUCCGGUACUGACGCUGAGGUGCGAAAGCGUGGGGAGCAAACAGG
rnacentral:rRNA from 1 species